GUCCAAAAUUACAUGGAAUAAAAGGCAACACCAAAUGACCAUACUUCAAUCCCAGGUCCUGUCCCAACUUGUACAUACAAUUCACUGGCUCCAGAGCAGCUGUCAUGUCCCUGUGGAAUGCAAGACUAAAUUUGCUGCCUCCAUCAUCAGGAUGACAAGUUAUGGAGGCAACAUGUACCUCUGAAUACUGGUAAACUUCUACCAGACUACACAGCACUACAACACAGGAGAUACCGAUCCUUUAUUCAGCCCACAAAGAUUCUGCCAACAAGGGAUUGGAAGUUGGAAGAAUACUCAACUCAUACUAAUUCUACUGUAUCAAGAACACAGUAUCUAUAAGCAGGAUGGAGGAGUAAUAACAGCACUGGACACUUUGCUCAGAUCAUGACUUACUUUGUGAGGAGUUUGGUAAGUAAGACUUGAGGUUCUCACAGCGGUGAGUAUGAAGAUAUCCGUCUUCUGGGUUAUUGCGCUGUG